rnacentral:rRNA from 1 species
GACGGGGGAUGCAAGCGUUAUGCGGAAUCACUGGGCGUAAAGCGUCUGUAGGUGGUGAUGCAAGUCACUGGUGCAAAACUCUGGCUCAACCGGAGGAAAGCCAGUGAAACUGCAUGACUAGAGUGUGGGAGAGGUAGAAGGAAUUCCCUGAGUAGCGGUGAAAUGCGUAGAUACAGGGAAGAACACCGGAGGCGAAAGAGUUCUACUGGAACACAACUGACACUGAGAGAAGAAAGCUAGAGGAGCGAAUGGG